rnacentral:sRNA from 1 species
GCUGGGCGUGGUAGUGCACUCCUGUAGUCCCAGCAACUCAGGAGGCUGAGGCAGGAGGAUCUCAAGUUCAAAGCCAGCCUCAG